GGAGCGGGGGGGACGUGCCACCCACCGCCACCGGCGAGCCCCCGCCGCCGCCCCCCGCGCAACCCCCGCGCCCCGCGGAAGCGCCACCGCACCUCCCCCCUUCCCGCGUCCCCCCACCCCACCCCGCCGCUCCGGGCCGCCGCCUCACCCCGCGCCCCUCGCUGUCGGGGUGCCGCCGCCGCGGGCCCGCCGCUGCCGGGCUGGCCAAACUUUGCCAAACUUUUAGUUUUCCCUUCUUUUCCCUCUGCCCGGGUCCACCCCCCGCUCCCCCCGUGCCGGUGUCGGUCGAGGAGGCGGCGGCGGCGGGCAGGGGAGCGGAGCGGGGCCGGCGGCCGGCAGCGGCGCGGCGGCAGGUGUGAGCCCGCGCCGGCCGGGAAGCUCCGGCAGCGGCAGCGCCCGGCGGAGCUCCGCGCCUCCGCCCGCCCGGAGGUCAGCACCGUCGGCCUCGGUAAUCAGCGCGGCGGGUGGCCCCGGUACGGCCCCGUGUGCCCCCCCCAACCCGUCCCCGAGGAGCGACGCCGAAGGAGCGGGACCGACUCACUCAUGGGAGCGCGGCGGGCGAGGCCGGCGACACCUCCGGCUUCCGAGGCGCCGGCGAAGUUAAUUGCACUGAAGUUCAAGUUGUCUUUUCACCCAUCAGGAGUGGGCGUUUAAAGGAAGGAGAGCGAGGAGGAGGAGGGGGAGGGGGAAGGGGGAGAGUCGCUCUCGCUCUCGCUCGCUCUCGCACACACACACACACACACACACGCGCGCACACGCGUGCACACGCAUGCACGCGCGCACACACACGCACACACAGGCACACACAAACACACCCGCCCGCUCGGCUCCGCUCCCGAGCUGCCUCAGCAAGGAGGAGCCCGGACGGAAAACACCCGGGCAGCAAGGAGACUGAGAAGAGAGGGGACCCUGGAUGUCAGUCCAUUCUCCGUUUUUUGUUUGUCUUGACUUUGAGGCAGAUUUCCUCUUUCAGCUCUGGAAACUGACAGGUGAAGGAAGUAUAUCAUUCUGACACCUGAAAAGUCCAGGAUCUCUCUAGAAAAUGAUGGAGCUUCUCUCAUCACCAAUUUUCUAUAGCCAAAGAAGCCCCAGCUACCUACUGUGUGGGAGGAGAGGCUCUAAACCAUAAACAGGCCAAUAAUACGUCACACCAUCUGAUUGCAAUGAAUGCGAAAGUAAAAGAUGGUUGGAACGGUGCCGGCGAAAGGUUGUUUCAGCUGGAGCAGAGGAGAGAAGGUUGUCCAACAUGUUUGAAACCACAGCUUGAUCCACAGUCUAUUGAGGCCAGUAAGGGUCUUCCCUUGGCAUCUGAAGGCUUUUGAUCAGUUGUGUCAGUUCCUCAAGACAAAGACCCUAAUCUUUGAGUUUAUCAGUGCGUGGUUUACAUUGGUGUAGCACUCAGUAAAUGAGGUGAGUUUGCUGGGUCAGGGACAGACAACCUGUUGCAAGUUCAUAACUGUUCUUAACUGCAUAGUGAAGACUGCUCAGAUCAUGGUUGUACAAAUAUGGCGAGCGAAUGAUAAGUGAAAUUCAGGCUCCGAAACUAUGCAGUUAAUUUCCAUUCCGGAGAACUAAGAGAAUCCAGCAAGAAGGGGUUCUCAGGUACUGAGGUGACCAACACUUCUAAAAUACACCAGCAUGCAAGCUUUUGCUGAGCAAAUUAUAAACUUCCACGCUAUUGCAGAAUGACUGUCAGUUCCUGCCUCAUAAAACCUAAACGUAAUUUUUUUCAAAGAGUUAAUCAAAGUACACCACCAAGAAUAAGUCACUUCAGGAAUUACCAUCAACGAACUCAUUUGAACCUAGCCCAGCUGCUGCCUGAAGCUUCAAACAGAUAUACCACUUAUUCCUGGCACUCUCCCGUUCCUCAUUGUCCAUCACAUCUCACUGGAAAAUGGGGAGAGCAACUGUUACAGCUACAGAGAAGUCUGCAGAAGGGUUGACAUCAAAGAUGUGUUUUUCCUUUCUCAGUGUGUUAAUUUUCUUUUCACUUUUACAAACAGUGGCUGGUAUAUGUUUUGGAAGGCUUGUGCUUCUGGCUUGAUUUUACACCACCUAUUGUUAAAGGCCAAUUGGUAUUACACUGAAAUAGUAGGUUUGGUUUAUUUAUUUAGAAUAUCUCUUUUUCUUUUGGAAUUUUUCUGUUAAAUGAAAAUCUCUUUGCCCACAGAUGAGCCGUAGUAACUUUCACUGGGAAAGUAGCUUUCUGUCAGUAUUUUUUUGUAUAUCUUCUCUUUAAAAAAAAGUGUCAUGAAAAGAGCUGUAAAACCUGCCAUUGCUUGCAAAGAAAAGAAAUUGUAAUCAAUUCCUACAACAGAGUAACAAUUCUUUAAUAUUUGCAGUAUUCAGUAGGAGUUCAUUAGUGUAACAACAGCACAUCCCGUGAAUCACACUUUAACGUUGUUGAAGCUUUUUAUAGUAAAAUAGAUUAAGGGUGGAGAAUUCAUGUAAAGGGACAAGAAUGUAACUCACACAUUAGUCAGUGAUUGUGAAUCAAAAUUAUUCUGGGUAAUUAAGUAAGCCUGAAGGUGUUUAAGUACACUAAAAGAGAGCCAAUACAGCGUAAAAUACUUUUGGGCUAAAGAAAGCAUAAAUCACAGCAACUUACCCUAGAUUUCGACUCAGCCACUGCUUAAGUUACAUACUGUGUAAAUCCAUAAAGCCAGCUACUACAGGCUCUCAGUUUGUUGAAUGUUUUAAUUAAGGGGAUUUUGUCAAGGUAUUUCUCAUUAUUAGGAGAAUAUUGUAUACAAAACGACUAGAGAUGGGUGAAUUCAUUUUACCUCAUUACAAGCCCAUUCAAAGACCAUCUCUAAUCAUGAAAUAUUAUUAGCUUCUUGUUUUUUUCAGAAGAUGAUCACAUGGAAUAAUAUCUAAUGAUAAAAUAAGGGAAAUAGAAGAAAGCAGCAUAGGAAAACAACUACGAACAUAGUGUGAAGAAUGGAUUAGAUAGCAUGGAAAGAGGAUCUGAAAGAAAAACUAGUAAUACCUCCUGCCCAUGGUCCAAAGAAAUAUCUGACAUGUUGGGUAGCUAUGUGUUAUUUUCUGACCUGCUAAGUAAGGUUUAAAUUACAUCAAAGAAAUGUCUGCAAAGUCAAGCUAGCUCUGUAAAACCUGUGGAUCAUAAGAAUAAUGUAAGAUGUUCACAGACAUUGAGUUUGCUCAAGACUGAUGAUAAUCCCUUGUGAAAUGCAAACUGAAAUUUGUUUUUCUACCAAAACAAGGCCUUUUUCUUCUCCCUCUUCCCAUUCACAGACACAGGCACGUUGUUGGCUUGUUAUUGUAGUUUAUGAAUGUUGGCCUUUAUUCUUGUGAAAUUAGUAUUAUCAACUUCAUUUGACAAAAUGUAAAAUUCUAUGUAAAGCUGACAGACUUGGAAAAAGUAGUAGAAACUAAAAGGAGAUAAACAUAGCUUUAUGAAACUGUGUUUUCUUAAAUAGUUCUUUUACUCUGAAGGGCUACAUAAUUACACCAAGCCAUAUGUGUGUCUUUUUUUUCUUUAAUAUAUAUUCUUGAAACUGGACAAGUGCUAAUAGCACCACUCAGGAGAAUGACAUCUAUCAUCUAGAAAGUUCUCAUUAUAGCUUACUUUAUCAGUUCAAUGAUGAAAAAAAAAAAAAUCAGCUAUAAAUCAGAAUCUCCAAGUAAUGUUUUAGCUGAACUUAAAAUAAUAUUCUAAGGUCUGAUCAUAAAAGUGUGGGAUUAGGCAAAAGCCAGCCACACUAGGUGUCACUUCUCCUUUAUCUGGAGACCUACAUAAUGAAUUAUACUAUUCUCACAUAGCACAGGACAGGUGGAAUUUGAAAAAUACAUCCCAUAGCAUAUAAAUCAUAUGAUAUAAAGCAAACACUCCAUAGGUUAUGGGUUUUAGUAUUCUGGUAUCAAGAUUUCUUAUGCCAGUUGGUAGCUUUUUAUGCUCUUCAUUGGUCUUUUAAUAACAACCUAUUUGAUCUUUCUAUCUAAUUGCUCUCAUGUUAAUAAUUAUGUGGGAUUAUGAAAGCUCUAAUUCUUGACUGUGCAUAUGGGAGGAUGUAUAGUUAUGACAUCCCUGUAAAAUCUUUGUGAGAAAGACAUGACCCAGGGCAGUGAGGAAACUCUCAGAAGAGCUGAUGAGCUGGGCACAGUGCCACGCUGACGUAGCUGCCCUGUGCCAGCUUGCUGUGCCGGCCUGGGUGGUCGCCAUCCCUCAGAGCCAGACAUCCUCCACAGAACUCCUUGCCUGAGGGUGGCAGGGGAAUUUCUAGCUCCAGUGCUUUUACAGGCUCCAUUUUAACUAUGUCAGAGUGUGUCAUUGUCUUUUGGUUACUUGCUGUCUCAGACAGGGAAGCUGCUUUUUGCAGGUGAUGGGCUGAGGCUCUGUGGGGCUUGCAGGACAACCUGAGAGUCACCAAGCAGGGUCUUAAAGGCCAUGUCUCUGUAUCACACACAAGAAUGAUCGGAACAUUUUUCUUAUUUACUGUGACUCUGGCGUUGGAGACUAGCAGACAUUUUGUCUUGGGAAAGCUGGCUGAAGACUGCUGUUUUCAUGCUUAUUCCAACAGCUCCAUGAACCAAUGCAAUGGAUAUAAAUGUUUUGUGGACAAUCACUCUUUUAUUUUGUUUUUGAAGCAUUUCUUCAGGCUGGGCUGCUUCAGUCACUGCUUUAGUAAGCAGCCCCACAAACACUUGCACAAGCACGAUGGAGGAGCAGAGGCUGAUAUGGUCUUUAAAACAUUUGGAGUAUGGGAGAGGUAGAAACGUGUCAGACUUGCUUUGUUUCUAGAGUAGUGUGUUGGAAUAACAAGCUCCUCUUCUUGUUUAGCCACACUGCUGUUGCAUAGGGCAAGUUGGAAGUGGAGGGGGAAGGAGAAACUUAAAUUCUUCAUCUUCCCUAUGCCUGCACGGAAAGCUGAAUUUCCUCGUAGGCACAUUCUGCUCUCUCCUCACUUCCAUGGCCAGUAACAUGACUGUAUAGCAGGGAGGCAAAGACUGCUUCAUUUCCAACUAGACAUCAUUAUAAUCUUGUCCACAGCGUGGAAGCCCAUGUCCAUUUUGGCUGAUUAUGGAAGAAAGAAUCUAGGAGGAAGGAGGAAGAAAAAGCCAAGGUGGACACAACUGUGAAAAUAGUGGGUAAGCAGAUGCUUCAGUCAUACUGCUGUUUGAAGACAUAGGGACUGGGAGACUCCGACGUUAGCCAUGCAGUGUGCAGGGAGCCAUCUUUUACACUGGAAAAACAGGUCUGGCAAGGUACUGGACUGCAACAUUCUGGAAGAGCAUGUGGCAGGAUCUUCCAAUUUCUUUCUGCUUUUCAAUUCACUACAUGGAGAAUCAGCCUUGCAAGCACUCAGGUGUGCUUGGGAGCAGGUUGGUUUCUAUUUCCUUUCCACACCUGCUCUGUGGUUUCCACACUGUGAGGAGAGAUAAACAGCAAGAGGGGAACUCCAGGCGCUUCUCAUCCUGCCCCUUCCUCAGCCCCUCCACGUACCCACUGCUUGUUACUGGUAAAACACCAAAAACAACAAAAAAAACCAAGUCAAGCCCUUUUAGCAGAUUAAACUCUUUCUGACUGAGCCAUUCUUGAGGCAUUACUUCCCCUUACAGUUAAUAUUUGUCAGCAUAGUUGCUACUAACUCUGCAUGCAAAAUACACUACCUUUUUCACAUCUUUGCAUUAUUCAGCAUAAACCAUAUUUCACGUAACAAGUACCUUUUCUCUUCCUCUGAGUGGUCUUUUCUAAACCAAGGCUAAUCCUUUCCUUUCCCCCGACAGUGGUAGAAAGGCAAAGGGGAGCCUCCCCUUGCUUGCGUAGCUGUGUCCGCUCACAGCAUAGCUAGGGCGGCCGUAGGUCCUCAGCUCACUGUGGUGGGAAGUGCCACGGGGAAUUAACUCAGAAUAAGGAUGGUGCAAGGAUGAGGCUUGUGAGAUCUCUGUCCUGCCUUUCCUCUCAAUGACAGUGCUGUGAUUACGAGCCAAGCACUUUACUGAGGACAACCAUUACCUUUUCCUGUGCAAGGAAACGCUUUUCCUGCUGCACUGCCCUGCCUUCCCCUCGGUGUUUCAGCUAGAACAGCUACAUUAACUUGCCCCAGCUCUGGGGUUGUGUCUGCCUCUUAUCAAACCCACGGUGCGCACCUGAGAGCGGCGUUCGCUCGGACACGCAUGGACUCAGGAAAGCCCAGAUGGCCAUGGAAUACCCCGUCUCGCUGGGAAGGCGACGACAGGGAGGAGUGCGGGACAGGCAAGACCUGCCGUGCCGCUCCCGAGGCGGGACACGAGGUGGCGCCGUGCGGGGUGACCCGGUCCCCGCUGGAGCCCCGGGGGCCGCGCCGGGUGAGGAAACAGAUCCGCGUUUCUUGUUGUGUCACAUUUUAAAGGCGCUUGCUCAUCCCCGGGUCUGCCGGAGGACAGGCACACCCCUCCGGCAGCCGGAGAGCUGUGCUCGGGAAAGGGAACGGCAGCCCGUGUUGCGCUGAGAGGGUUUAGGCCUGAGAUCUGACUGAGAGGCGCCUGGUGCCCGCGGAUGCCGCCAGUGCCUGCCCCCUGUUAACACACAAAGGGGGCACCUGGUUUUCCAGCCAUAAAUAUAAAACAAAAUGAUAAAUAAAUGGCUAUCAUUAGCAAAUGGAUGGGAUAAGUAAGGAGGUAAAGGUGAGAACGGCAUUGCAGAGACUUUCAGGGCUUUAAAAGUUGGCACAGAAAUUUUUUUCUCUCCCUUGGUCCUUUGAGGUAGGCUAUUUCUAUGAAGAAAAUUCUGCUCACAUUGCAAAAGGGGCAUGUCAGGGGGUUUGUCUGUCAUUGAGGUUGAAAUGAACUUUGUCACCCUGUUUAAAUAUUUAAGUCUCCUGACACAGGCAAAUACAUUGGGAAGUGCUAAAAAAAAAAUAUUUAAAAAUACAGCUGCCUUUGAGAUGAAGCAUUCCUAUUCCCACUGUAUCAGUCCACUUUGCUCAAGCAACACUGAUGUAUAAAGUAUGGCAGGAAACUGCGGACCAGAGAAGCAGCUCCAUUGUCAGAAUCUGCCUAUUUGUGCAUUUGGAGUGGUAACACUUUGUUUUACAGUUUCAGUCACUGUUCAUUAACCAAGAGGUUAAGCAUUAGAGUGAGAAGCAUGUGUGUCAGUUUCUUUCUGCAACCAGUCUGCUAAUCUCUUAUUCUCUUAAAUAGCUGUGUUUUUAUUAUUGUUUUAUACAUUUUGCAUACUUGUGAAAUUAAGGGGAUUUUUUCAUUUUUUUCUUAGCAGUCUUAACUUCCCCACACAAAUACAGGGUUUUCAGUGUUUCACUGCUACUUUGCUUGUAUUACAAAUGCUCCUUUAACUUAGAAAGAGGUCUUCAAAACCCACUCUGUAACACAUCUGUGCUUUGGGUGUAACACUAAGGAAGGUACUGGAUGCACUUUAAAAUAUAAGGUCAUUUUUUUAGAUUGAGUUUGGGUAAAAUCAUUGUUGGGAGAAGUUGUUGUGUGGUUCAAGGCAGAAACCAAUUUUAUGUUGGUGUACUUUGUCUGAGAUGAUCUCAAAGGGCAAUAGCUUCCUGGGCAACUGUGAGUGUGGAAGGUGAAAGCUGGAGGGACUUGUUUGAGUGGGAGCCCUUAGUCACCAUUUAAAAUCUUAUCUCAAGGAUAAACUGUACACACUAUACUGACAGGUUCAUCCCUUACCGUGGAGGUGGAGGAUCAUCAUGAUCAUCACACUGUUUUCAUUUCUUGUGGGUCACACAAACUACUCUCUGAGAGUUUGGAACUGGGGACUGGGGUGGAAAAGGCUAGAAAGGGCUGAGAGAGACAUCACCUCAUAUGCAUUGGUGGAAAUGAUAACACAAAGGCAACACAGCCCGGCAUGAACAGCAGACCUCCAUUUUUCUGAUGGUUUCUGAACCUCCAACUCUGACCCCGUGCUGAUUUGGUUGUGGUGGGCUUAACUGGUUACACAAACAGCUCCCAACCUUCAAAUGCCACAGAAUCCCACAGCUAAUGAGUAAUGAGUCAUUUUUACAUCCUUACAGAUUACUUUGUGCAUUUCUUGAAGGCAGAAAAUAUCCAAGACAGUUUGUUCACAAACAUUUUGAGUAAAUCCUUCUCUAUCUGAAUGCUCAGGUUAUGUUUCUGUCGUUACAGUAAUAGGGCUAUGGAGGCCUGAUUCUGAAAAGUGCAGAGCGUAUGCAGCCCCUGCCAAGAUAAAUGGGGGAUGAAGAUUCUCUGGGGUAGUGAAAUAAUAAUCACUUCAGUUUCCCUACUACAGUUCUUUUUUGAGUCUGUGACUGUAUAAACCAUACAUCACAUAUUGACAUUUAUGUUCUUCAGAUGUAUGACAUCACUUGUCACUUAAUGUAAAUUUGUUCAAGCUAUACAAAAGCCAAAGCAGAUCCUGUGUCUGAAAUCUGAGCUCCUAGUUAUGAAGGAACAUACUCUUACUGACUGAAUCAUGAUUUUUUUGCUCUUACAUUCAAGCUACUGAAAAAUGAAUAUGAAACCAGGAAUUAAGACAGAAGUUAAAACCUGCAUAAGAGGUUUUAAGCAAACUGUGAAAACUAUGCAAAUCGAUGUCCAGAUCCCACCUACAUCCAGUCACAGAAAUAGUCAAUGUAUGAAUAAGCACUUCCAAUGAGCACAGUGUGAUGGGAUUCGUUCAGUGUGACAAUGAUGUGUUUGACCCGUGGUUGGCUUAUAGGUAUGUGCCCGUGCAUGGGCAAUGUGGACAUUACCUGCAUGACAAAGUAUAUACAUGUUGAAUAUAUUGGGCCAGCAGCUUAAGCAAUCUAAUAAUAUGUUUGGGGUAUAUUUGUUAAAGAUUUAUCUUUUGUGAAUAAAGCAACUUCUGUUUGUAGUCUACAAAGA